CCUACGGGUGGCAGCAGUGGGGAAUAUUGGACAAUGGGCGAAAGCCUGAUCCAGCCAUGCCGCGUGUGUGAAGAAGGCCUUCGGGUUGUAAAGCACUUUCAGUGGGGAAGAAAGCCUUGGGGCUAAUACCCUCGAGGAAGGACAUCACCCACAGAAGAAGCACCGGCUAACUCCGUGCCAGCAGCCGCGGUAAUACGGAGGGUGCGAGCGUUAAUCGGAAUUACUGGGCGUAAAGCGCGCGUAGGCGGUCUGAUAAGCCGGUUGUGAAAGCCCCGGGCUCAACCUGGGAACGGCAUCCGGAACUGUCAGGCUAGAGUGCAGGAGAGGAAGGUAGAAUUCCCGGUGUAGCGGUGAAAUGCGUAGAGAUCGGGAGGAAUACCAGCGGCGAAGGCGGCCUUCUGGACUGACACUGACGCUGAGGUGCGAAAGCGUGGGUAGCAAACAGGAUUAGAUACCCCGGUAGUC
rnacentral:rRNA from 1 species